rnacentral:rRNA from 1 species
CUAGAACGACUCCUCCACACUAAACCCGACUACAAAUCUCUUCGAGUCUUCGUGUGUGCAUGUUGGCCCAAUCUUCGCCCAUACAACAAAUGCAAGCUUAUGUUUCAUUCAAAACAGUGUGUUUUUCUAGGAUAUAGCGCCCAACACAAAGGUGUCAAAUGCCUCGAUGUCUCCACUGGUUGCGUCUAUAUCUCCAGGGAUGUCGUGUUUGAUGAAACAAAGUUUCCCUUUGCUGAUCUCCACCCAAAUGUCGGCGCCCUUCUUCGUAAGGAAAUUCUCCUCCUACCUUCUCAUCUCUCCGGCCUUGAUCAAGGGGGACUAAACAAUGAUGAUCAACUGUUGACACAUCCUCUUACUAAUGGCACACUUGAGUUUUGUGAU